rnacentral:rRNA from 1 species
GACGAACGCUGGCGGCGUGCUUAACACAUGCAAGUCGAACGGUGAAGGGACCGGUUUUUGCUGGUUCUGGAUGAGUGGCGAACGGGUGAGUAACACGUGAGUAACCUGCCCCCUUCUUCUGGAUAACCGCAUGAAAGUGUGGCUAAUACGGGAUAUUCUGCGCCUGCUGCAUGGUGGGUGUGGGAAAGAUAUUGUUUCGGUGGGGGAUGGCUCGCGGCCUAUCAGGUUGUUGGUGGGGUGAUGGCCUACCAAGGCGGUGACGGGUAGCCGGCCUGAGAGGGUGGACGGUCACACUGGGACUGAGACACGGCCCAGACUCCUACGGGAGGCAGCAGUGGGGAAUAUUGCACAAUGGGCGCAAGCCUGAUGCAGCGACGCCGCGUGAGGGAUGGAGGCCUUCGGGUUGUAAACCUCUUUCGCCAGUGAAGCAGGCCUGUCCCUUUUGUGGGUGGGUUGACGGUAGCUGGAUAAGAAGCGCCGGCUAACUACGUG